GACGAACGCUGGCGGCGCGCCUAACACAUGCAAGUCGAACGAGCGAGCGAGAGCUUGCUUUCUCAAGCGAGUGGCGAACGGGUGAGUAACGCGUGAGGAACCUGCCUCAAAGAGGGGGACAACAGUUGGAAACGACUGCUAAUACCGCAUAAGCCCACAGGUCGGCAUCGACCAGAGGGAAAAGGAGCAAUCCGCUUUGAGAUGGCCUCGCGUCCGAUUAGCUAGUUGGUGAGGUAACGGCCCACCAAGGCAACGAUCGGUAGCCGGACUGAGAGGUUGAACGGCCACAUUGGGACUGAGACACGGCCCAGACUCCUACGGGAGGCAGCAGUGGGGAAUAUUGCACAAUGGGGGAAAACCUGAUGCAGCGACGCCGCGUGGAGGAAGAAGGUCUUCGGAUUGUAAACUCCUGUUGUUGAGGAAGAUAAUGACGGUACUCAACAAGGAAGUGACGGCUAACUACGUG
rnacentral:rRNA from 1 species